rnacentral:tRNA from 1 species
GGGGUUGUGGCUUAGCGGUAGAGCGCUCUUCUAGCACGUGUGAGGCCCUGGGUUCGAUCCUCAGCACCACA